rnacentral:rRNA from 1 species
GACGAACGCUGGCGGCGUGCUUAACACAUGCAAGUCGAACGAAGUGGCGAACGGGUGAGUAACGCGUAAUCAACCUGCCCUUCAGAGGGGGAUAACAGUGGAAAACGACUGCUAAUACGCCAUACGGAGGGAGGGAAUUCGGUCUGAUUGGCGAGUGGGGGGGGUACCGGCCCACCAAGGCGAGGAUCAGUAGCCGGUCUGAGAGGAUGAACGGCCAAAUUGGGACUGAGACACGGCCCAGACUCCUACGGGAGGCAGCAGUGGGGAAUCUUCCGCAAUGGACGAAAGUCUGACGGAGCAACGCCGCGUGAGUGAUGACGGCCUUCGGGUUGUAAAGCUCUGUUAAUCGGGACGCGGUACCGGAAUAGAAAGCCACGGCUAACUACGUGCCAGCAGCCGCGGUAAUAC